GCCAGCAUGGCAUAGUGGUUUGUGCAGUUGCACUAUGACUCUGAAGGCCAGGGUUCAAAUUCCAGCUCAGCCA